CGCGCGGUGGAGCAGCGGUUAGCUCGUCGCCCUCAUCAGGCGAAGGUCGCAAGGUUCGAGUCCUGCCCGCGCAUCCA
rnacentral:tRNA from 1 species